AUUGAACGCUGGCGGCAGGCUUAACACAUGCAAGUCGAGCGGUAGCACAGGGGAGCUUGCUCCCUGGGUGACGAGCGGCGGACGGGUGAGUAAUGUCUGGGAAACUGCCUGAUGGAGGGGGAUAACUACUGGAAACGGUAGCUAAUACCGCAUAACGUCGCAAGACCAAAGAGGGGGACCUUCGGGCCUCUUGCCAUCAGAUGUGCCCAGAUGGGAUUAGCUAGUAGGUGGGGUAAUGGCUCACCUAGGCGACGAUCCCUAGCUGGUCUGAGAGGAUGACCAGCCACACUGGAACUGAGACACGGUCCAGACUCCUACGGGAGGCAGCAGUGGGGAAUAUUGCACAAUGGGCGCAAGCCUGCUGCAGCCCUGCCGCGUGUGUGAAGAAGGCCUUCGGGUUGUAAAGCACUUUCAGCGAGGAGGAAGGUGGUGAGCUUAAUACGUUCAUCAAUUGACGUUACUCGCAGAAGAAGCACCGGCUAACUCCGUG
rnacentral:rRNA from 1 species